rnacentral:rRNA from 1 species
UACGAAGGGGGCUAGCGUUGUUCGGAAUCACUGGGCGUAAAGGGUGCGUAGGCGGGUCUUUAAGUCAGGGGUGAAAUCCUGGAGCUCAACUCCAGAACUGCCUUUGAUACUGAGGAUCUUGAGUUCGGGAGAGGUGAGUGGAACUGCGAGUGUAGAGGUGAAAUUCGUAGAUAUUCGCAAGAACACCAGUGGCGAAGGCGGCUCACUGGCCCGAUACUGACGCUGAUGCGCGAAAGCGUGGGGAGCAAACGGG